rnacentral:rRNA from 1 species
UACGUAGGGCGCAAGCGUUGUCCGGAAUUAUUGGGCGUAAAGAGCUCGUAGGCGGCUUGUCACGUCGAUUGUGAAAGCCCGAGGCUUAACCUCGGGUCUGCAGUCGAUACGGGCUAGCUAGAGUGUGGUAGGGGAGAUCGGAAUUCCUGGUGUAGCGGUGAAAUGCGCAGAUAUCAGGAGGAACACCGGUGGCGAAGGCGGAUCUCUGGGCCAUUACUGACACUGAGGAGCGAAAGCGUGGGGAGCGAACAGG